ACUUCCAAAACUUCUACCAUUUAUCGACUGUUUUAUUAUUUUUGGCAACUCUGGCAAUCAACCCAUAGCAACAAGGAAAUAAAUGUUCGCUUGAUUUGCAAACAUUCCGCAUUAUUAUUGAAAGUUGAUAAAUGAAUAAUAUGACAAAAUCAUCAGCAAAACCAUUUUCAAAGCAGGAAAAAUGGCAACAAAUUUCCGAAACGAGAGAAAAAUUUUCAUUACAGUUUCCUUUGCAAAAUGAGGCUUCCAUAUUGAUGAAUCCAGCCCUUAACAUGCAAUAUGUAAAGCCUUUGCAUGCUAAAUGUAAUGGUGAAGUAUUGAAAGUAUUAAAUGGUAAAUCCAAGCGAAAUGAUACAAUUUCAAUGCAUAUUCCUGUAAAAGCGUAUAAUUAUGGAUUGUCCUGCUUCAAUUUCGGUUAUCAUAAUACUAGAAUUCAAAUGAAGGAUACGGAGUAUUCACGUCAAAUUGAUCCGUUUUUGAGUAUUACCGCAAAAGAUUUUAGUUUGAUCAAACAAAUCAAAAAUGACAACAUAACAUUUUGGAAUUGGAAAGCACAUCAAAACACUGCAUCACGUACUGAUAGGUCAACCACAACUCAAACAAUGAUUCCUCCAUUGAAAAGAGUUAUUUCACGAAAUUACCUUUCCGAAACCGCAGCAAACUUUUGAUAUAUUUUCAAACAAGAAACGAAUACUACAAAUAGUUUCCGCACCAAUAUUUCGAAAAGGUUUGUAUCGAUGUAAGCAACUAAUUAAAAUGACGACGUUUUAUGCCAUACUAACAAUUUCUGUGAACCAAAUAUCCAAAA